UUAAUAUCUGAAAGAAGAGGGGAAAAGACAGCUUGGACAAAGCUUUUAUUACAAACAAGUCUAAUCAUAGUCUACCUAGGAUUCCUAUGAUUGUUCAUGACUCUAAAACCAGGGCUGGAGACAUAGCUUAGCUGGUAGAGUGCUUGCCUAGCAUACAGAAAGACCUGGGUUCAAUCACCAACACCGCAUUUAAUAGAUGUGAAGGUGCACAUCUCUAAUCUCAACACAUGGAGGUGGGGUGAUCAGAAGUUCAAGGUGAUCUUGCUGGUUAGUUUCUGUCAACUUGCCACAAGCUGCAGUUAUUUAGAAAGAGGAUACAUUAAUAGAGAAAAUACCUCCAUCAGUUGGGCCUGUUGGCAAGUCUAUAGGACAUUUUUUUGGUUAAUGAUUGAUAUGGAAGGACCCAACCAACUGUAGGCAGAGCCACCACUGGACAGGUGGUUCAGGGUUGUAUAAGAAAGCAGACUGAGUAAGCCAUGGAAGGCAAGCCAGUGAACAGCACCCUUCCAUGGCCUCAGCUUCAGUUCCUGUUUCCAGGUUCCUGCCUUUAGUUUCUGCUCUGACUUCUGUCAGUGAUGGACUGUAAGCUGUAAGCUAAGAUUCUUUCCUCUCUAAGUUGCUUUUGACAUAGUCUUAAUCACAACAAUAGAAAGCAAACUAAUAUGGUAAAACCUCAGCUAAAUAGUGAGUCUGAGGCCAGCCUAGGCUACAUGAGACCCUGUUUCUAAAAUAAUACCCCAAAUAAAAACAAUAGAUUCUGCUGGUUUGAGCUAAGAUUGACCCCAAAUUAUGCUAAGCACUUGAGACUGAUGGUUUGUUAACAUAGCAUAACCUAACUGAUUCUAACUAAUACACAUGCGCAUAGCUUAUUGAGUGACUUCUUUGGGGCAUAGUCUAAGUGUGUAUAUGUUAUAGUUUACCUUACAACCACCUGGACAGAAGAUGUCAUUUUCAUUUUGCAGAGAAAGAAGACUGCCAGCAGCACACUCAAGCUCCUAAGUGGCUGAUUUUAAACUUCUCAGUAGGAUGGUAUCCAGAGAUCUUAACUAAGACCUAGAAACUAAUAUCAAAUACCUAAUAUUGUCUGUGGAUGGUUUGGUUACAGGUUGGGUAACUAUUCCCCUUCUGCACCUACAAAGUCUUAAAGAAAGUGUCCCAGCAAGAAGUGACUGGGGAGACUGAGUCCCCAAGAAGUAACUCAGUCUUGUACCCAUUGUGCCAAGUGUGGACUUACUGAGGGGCCGUGGGUGAUGCUGUUGGGACUUUGUUGGAACGAGGCAGCUAGCAGCAGUGUUGAGGGUAGACUCACUGGCAACACUGUUGCAACAGCAACAGAAGAUCUUGGAUGCCAUGUGUUGGUGGGGUUGGGAAGAGGAAAAGGUGUCGGGUAGCUGGCUGUGCAGCCCCAAUCCCAGAAGCCCAUUGUUGUUUAAGCAAUGGGUCACACUGGUCUCCUCCCCACCCACUGUCAAGCUGCUUGUGGCUCCCUGUGGCCUCCUGAAGUUCACCUGUUCAGUUCCACCACUCUGAGGGCCAGCCCUUCUUCACUGUCCGGAGUUCACCUGUCAAUAGAAGGGUGACAAGCCCAUACUCUGGUGCUCCUCCUUCAGCCAGCAGGGUCAGCUCUGCUGUGCUGUCCAGAUGAGGCGCGAGGCCCACUUGCCCAAGUGUUGCAGCUGAUAAAUGGGUCAGCUCCCUCGCCAGCUGGGGACAGCAGGGGCAAGAGGGGGAGGGCAUCUUUCCUUCAUCUCCACCCCUGCACGGAAGAUGAGAGCGGCCGUGCCAGUCAUGCUGCUAACCCCUCAUCCUGGAGCCGCCUUCUCCCUGCCUUGAAGGUUGACACUUCUUGUCCAGCAUCCUCUCCCAGGAAGUCAGUCCUGGAACCUCAGUGGAUGGACAACUACAACUGGGAUCCUUUCCCUCUGCACAUUCACCAUGCCGUGAUCUGCUUGUCUGUCAUCUCUACACUCAGCAGACUGCAAGCUUCAAAGGGAUGAUGGCCUUGCCACUGCAUUUUCAUGGAAUCUGCCCAACAUUUGAGAUAAAAAUACAUAGCAAUUGAA